rnacentral:rRNA from 1 species
AGGAAAAGAAACUAACAAGGAUUCCCCUAGUAACUGCGAGUGAAGCGGGAAAAGCUCAAAUUUAAAAUCUAGGCAGUCUUUGGCUAGUCCGAGUUGUAAUCUGGAGAAGCGUCUUCCGCGCUGGACCGUGUACAAGUCUCCUGGAACGGAGCGUCAUAGAGGGUGAGAAUCCCGUCUUUGACACGGACUACCAGUGCUCUGUGAUGCGCUCUCAAAGAGUCGAGUUGUUUGGGAAUGCAGCUCAAAAUGGGUGGUAAACUCCAUCUAAAGCUAAAUAUUGGCGAGAGACCGAUAGCGAACAAGUACCGUGAGGGAAAGAUGAAAAGCACUUUGGAAAGAGAGUUAAACAGUACGUGAAAUUGCUGAAAGGGAAACGCUUGAAGUCAGUCGCGUUUGCUAGGACUCAGCCUUGCCUCGGCUUGGUGCACUUCCUAGUAAACGGGCCAGCAUCACUUUUGACUGCGGGAAAAAGAUCAGAGGAAUGUGGCACCUUCGGGUGUGUUAUAGCCUCUGGUUGUAUACCGUGGUUGGGAGUGAGGAACUCAGCACGCCGCAAGGCGGGGCUUCGGCCACCUUCGUGCUUAGGAUGCUGGCGUAAUGGCUUUAAACGACC